CAGGGAAUAGUUUAAAAAGAAUUUC
rnacentral:tRNA from 1 species